UUUGUGUUCCAGGAACUUCAGAACUCCUGAAUGUAUUGGUGUUGAUAAAAGGUAGACAUCACCUUGUGACUCAACAGCAGCCAAUAAGAUGGAAAUAAAGGCCAUGAAGUUAUCGGAUGGCAUCUACAAGGAAUACUUAGAUGAGGAGGUGACUCUGGUAGCAAUUGUUCUUUUGUCUUUCUCACCUUCCUUCUUGUCCUGUCUGGGAUGCUGAAGUGAUGGCUGGUAUACAGAUGCCCUGUUGUGAUGUUGAGAUAAACAUGAGAAUAAAAGUCGGCGAUUACAGAUGGCAGAGAAGAGAGAGAAAGAUAGGAUGUAGGUGGAUAUUGACGGAACUAAGUUUCUAUUGCACAAGUUCUACCACCAACCUCUGGACUUCAUGAUAUGUGAGGGAGAAAUAAACUCCUAUUUUAGAAGAGAUCUAUGUUACCUGCAACUGAACGGAAUGCUUAAUUGGCACAUCCUAUGUGCUCCAAACCUUCCUUAAUUUCUGUGUGUAAGGCAUACUUAGUCUUUACCCAUUAUUCUGUUCACAUUCAUUCACUUGAUCAGCCUCCCAACUCUAUGGUAAAGAGUUUACUACAGUUUACUCUAUUAGUAAGGGAGAUUCUGGAGCAAGCCCCACAAAUCAUAGAUUGAAUACCCAUUCAUUAAGAGAGAGAUUUAAAGAUACUUCUAUCCAAACACAUUUUAAAUUUCCAGCACCUUUGAGGUGGUGGAGGUUCAUGGUGGUUGAUAGGGUUUAAAUGACUUGUGAUUCAAGCUCCAUAUUACAAUGUAACAGUGCAAAAGUUCAUUUUUUUAAAUUUAUUUUACUUUAAGUUCUGGUAUACAUGUGUAGAACAUGCGGGUUUGUUACAUAGGUAUACAUGUGCCAUGGUGGUUUGCUGCACCUAUCAAACCGUCACCUAGGUUUUAAGAACCACAUGCAUUAGGUAUUUGACCUAAUGCUCUCCCUCAUGUUGCCCCCCAACUCCCUGACAGGGCCCAGUGUGUGAUGUUCCCCUCCCUGUGUCCAUGUGUUCUCAUUGUUCAACUCCCAC
rnacentral:lncRNA from 10 species